UCUAUUUCGUUGCUUCAUCCAUACAGCUGCGCAGUUCUGGACGCGUGCCAAUCUCUGCCACGUGCUUGCUUCUAGAAUUCACGUUGUAUCUUGUGCUUUUUGUCUCAGUUGUAGAAAAUAGUCUUGUACAGUCUUUAUGAUUUGAAAACUCUCUUUUUCUUACAAACCACAGUUCUUCUAUGAUAGUCAGUCUAGAUUCUUUUUUUCUCUUCAAGUUUGUUUUCCCAGUUCCAAAAUAGCUUUGUAACUCGAUUCUUCUCUCUCCCCCCUUGAAGUGGGAACAAAACUUGAAUAGAAGACUAGCAGGCUAGCCAAUGUAAAAUGUACUUUGGAUUGGUGAUAAUG